UACGGAAGGCAGCAGUGGGGAAUAUUGCACAAUGGGCGCAAGCCUGAUGCAGCCAUGCCGCGUGUAUGAAGAAGGCCUUCGGGUUGUAAAGUACUUUCAGUCGUGAGGAAGGUGUUAAGGUUAAUAACCUUAGCAAUUGACGUUAGCGACAGAAGAAGCACCGGCUAACUCCGUGCCAGCAGCCGCGGUAAUACGGAGGGUGCGAGCGUUAAUCGGAAUUACUGGGCGUAAAGGGCACGCAGGCGGUUAAUUAAGUUGGAUGUGAAAUCCCCGGGCUUAACCUGGGAAUGGCAUUCAAGACUGGUUAGCUAGAGUCUUGUAGAGGGGGUUAGAAUUCCAUGUGUAGCGGUGAAAUGCGUAGAGAUGUGGAGGAAUACCGGUGGCGAAGGCGGCCCCUGGCAAAGACUGACGCUCAUGUGCGAAAGCGUGGGGAGCAAACGAGGAUUAGAUA
rnacentral:rRNA from 1 species